UACGAAGGGGGAGCUAGCGUUGCUCGGAAUCACUGGGCGUAAAGCGCACGUAGGCGGCUUUUUAAGUCAGGGGUGAAAUCCUGGAGCUCAACUCCAGAACUGCCUUUGAUACUGAGAGCUUGAGUCCGGGAGAGGUGAGUGGAACUGCGAGUGUAGAGGUGAAAUUCGUAGAUAUUCGCAAGAACACCAGUGGCGAAGGCGGCUCACUGGCCCGGUACUGACGCUGAGGUGCGAAAGCGUGGGGAGCAAACAGG
rnacentral:rRNA from 1 species